GCGCCGGGUGUGUAAGGCGUAGCAUCGCUGCUCGAAAAGCAGAAGGUGCGGGUUCGAGUCCCGCCUGGUGCA
rnacentral:tRNA from 1 species